rfam:Triticum aestivum genome assembly, contig: Triticum_aestivum_CS42_TGACv1_scaffold_404538_5BL
CAACUACUCCCUCCGUCCCAAAAUACUUCUCUUAGAAAUGAAAAAAAAUGAAUGUAUCUAUAACUAUAAAAAAUUUAGAUACAACCAUUUUAAGAACAAGUAUUUCCGGACGGAGAGAGUAUGAA